rnacentral:RNase_P_RNA from 1 species
UUCGCAGGACAGGUGAUCGCGGCUGCAAGUGCCGAAAGGCCGCAGGUGAGGAAAGUCCGGGCUUCAUAGGGCAGGAUGCCGGUUAACGGCCGGUGGAGGAAACUCUAAGGAAAGUGCAACAGAAAUAUACCGCCAGCUAUGCUGGUAAGGGUGGAAUGGCAGUGUAAGAGACUACCGCCUUCCUGGUAACAGGGAGGGCACAUGUAAACCCCAUUCGAAGCAAGACCGAAACAAAGCGUUUGACGUGGCCCGCUUAGCUUUAGGUAGGUCGCUUGAGGCGGCUGGUAACAGUCGUCCUAGAUAGAUGAUCACCCACGACAUAACCCGGCUUAUCGUUCUGCGAAUCUU